rnacentral:tRNA from 2 species
GCGGCUGUGGCGGAAUUGGUAGACGCGCAAGAUUCAGGUUCUUGUGGGGGAAACCCCGUGGUGGUUCGAGUCCACUCAGCCGCA